rnacentral:rRNA from 1 species
UGAGGAAUAUUGGUCAAUGGACGCAAGUCUGAACCAGCCAAGUAGCGUGCAGGAUGACGGCCCUAUGGGUUGUAAACUGCUUUUAUAUGGGGAUAAAGUGGGGAACGUGUUCCCUUUUGCAGGUACCAUAUGAAUAAGGACCGGCUAAUUCCGUGCCAGCAGCCGCGGUAAUACGGAAGGUUCGGGCGUUAUUCGGAUUUAUUGGGUUUAAAGGGAGCGUAGGCCGUUUGGUAAGCGUGUUGUGAAAUGUAGGAGCUCAACUUCUAGAUUGCAGCGAGAAGUGUCAGACUUGAGUGCGCACAACGUAGGCGGAGUUCAUGAUGUAGCGGUGAAAUGCUUGGAUAUCAUGAAGAACUCAGAUUGCGAAGGCAGCUUAAGGGAGCGCAACAAACGCUGAAGCUCGAAGGUGAGGGUAUCGAACAGG